UACGGAGGGUGCAAGCGUUGUCCGGAAUCACUGGGCGUAAAGGGCGCGUAGGCGGAUGGCACAGUCAGAUGUGAAAUUCCCGGGCUUAACCUGGGGGCUGCAUUUGAUACGUGUUGUCUUGAGUUCGGAAGAGGGUCGUGGAAUUCCCAGUGUAGAGGUGAAAUUCGUAGAUAUUGGGAAGAACACCGGUGGCGAAGGCGGCGACCUGGUCCGACACUGACGCUGAGGCGCGAAAGCGUGGGGAGCAAACAGG
rnacentral:rRNA from 1 species